rnacentral:tRNA from 1 species
CCUCCUUUCUAAGGAACCAAUAAAAUCAAUCAUCUUCAGUUUUGAAAGACUUAGGCAACUAAGUUUUUCUUCGUGACUUCACGAAGGGCCUAUAGCUCAGUUGGUUAGAGCACACGCCUGAUAAGCGUGGGGUCGGUGGUUCAAGUCCAUUUAGGCCCACCAGAGUUAUAGGUUUCGUAAGACACAAAUUCUUUGAAAAUUAGGUAAAUAAUAGUUAUUUAUCCGGAACAUUAAAGG